rnacentral:rRNA from 1 species
AACCUGCGGAGGGAUCAUUACCGAGUGGAGGGCGCUCCGGCGCCCGACCUCCCCCACCCUUUGAUUUGAUCAAGACCUCUUCUGCCUCGGGGGCGACCCGGCCUUCGGGCCGCGGUCCUCCCGGUGGUCACCAACCAAAACUCUGCAUCAAUUGUCGUCUGAGUCACAAGUUUAAUUCAAACAAAACUUUCAACAACGGAUCUCUUGGUUCUGGCAUCGAUGAAGAACGCAGCGAAAUGCGAUAAGUAAUGUGAAUUGCAGAAUUCAGUGAAUCAUCGAAUCUUUGAACGCACAUUGCGCCCUUUGGCAUUCCGAAGGGCAUGCCUGUUCGAGCGUCAUUACACCAAUCAAGCCUGGCUUGGUAUUGGGCGACAGGGCCGUCACACGCCCUCCGCCCCAAUGACUGCCGGCGGGACGGACCGAAUCUCAGCGUUGUGAAUCAAAAGCCGCUGGCGAGACGGGACGGCCGUGCCGUUAAACAACCCCAUCAAAGGUUGACCUCGGAUCAGGUAGGGAUACCCGCUGAA